UACAGCUUGAGAACGCCAAGCCAGCUCAGA
rnacentral:piRNA from 1 species